rnacentral:rRNA from 1 species
CGGGAGGCAGCAGUGGGGAAUAUUGGACAAUGGGCGCAAGCCUGAUCCAGCCAUGCCGCGUGUGUGAAGAAGGCCUUAUGGUUGUAAAGCACUUUAAGCGAGGAGGAGGCUACUGAAGUUAAUACCUUCAGAUAGUGGACGUUACUCGCAGAAUAAGCACCGGCUAACUCUGUGCCAGCAGCCGCGGUAAUACAGAGGGUGCAAGCGUUAAUCGGAUUUACUGGGCGUAAAGCGCGCGUAGGCGGCUAAUUAAGUCAAAUGUGAAAUCCCCGAGCUUAACUUGGGAAUUGCAUUCGAUACUGGUUAGCUAGAGUGUGGGAGAGGAUGGUAGAAUUCCAGGUGUAGCGGUGAAAUGCGUAGAGAUCUGGAGGAAUACCGAUGGCGAAGGCAGCCAUCUGGCCUAACACUGACGCUGAGGUGCGAAAGCAUGGGGAGCAAACAGGAUUAGAUACCCUGGUAGUCCAUGCCGUAAACGAUGUCUACUAGCCGUUGGGGCCUUUGAGGCUUUAGUGGCGCAGCUAACGCGAUAAGUAGACCGCCUGGGGAGUACGGUCGCAAGACUAAAACUCAAAUGAAUUGACGGGGGCCCGCACAAGCGGUGGAGCAUGUGGUUUAAUUCGAUGCAACGCGAAGAACCUUACCUGGCCUUGACAUAGUAAGAACUUUCCAGAGAUGGAUUGG